rnacentral:rRNA from 1 species
GGAUUAGAUACCCUGGUAGUCCACGCCGUAAACGAUGUCAACUAGCCGUUGGGGGACUUGAUCCCUUAGUGGCGCAGCUAACGCGAUAAGUUGACCGCCUGGGGAGUACGGCCGCAAGGUUAAAACUCAAAUGAAUUGACGGGGGCCCGCACAAGCGGUGGAGCAUGUGGUUUAAUUCGAUGCAACGCGAAGAACCUUACCAGGUCUUGACAUCCUCGGAACUUUCCAGAGAUGGAUCGGUGCCUUCGGGAACCGAGUGACAGGUGCUGCAUGGCUGUCGUCAGCUCGUGCCG